UGUCGGCUACUUGAGCCAGUAAAGGGGGCUUUUCUAUUCUUGGGUAGCGGAAUGACUUUAGCUUCCCUCCAGGCCUGAAGGCUCACACUUUCUAGUAGGCUUAAAUUGAAGAUGUGGCAAUAUUGUCUGCUAUUAUCCUCAGUAAUUACCCAUCCAGAUUGUCAGACCCCAGUGGCUUGUCAUUGUUGAUAGACAACAAUAAUUUUUUCACCUCUUCCACACUGACUUUACGGAAUUCAAAAGUACAAUUCUUGUCUUUCAUAAUUUGGUCCGAUAUUUUUAGAUGUGUAUUGUCAGUGUUUGUUGCUGGUAUGUCAUCCCUAAGGUUGCUUAUCUUGCCAAUUAAAAAGUAAUUGAAGUUGUUGGCAAUAUCAGUGGGCUUUGUGAUGAAUGAGUGUCACGUCCUGACCAGUAGAGGGUGUAGUUGGGUCAGGACGUGGCAGAAGGGAGUAAGUGUUUUAUUGUUUCAUUUAAUUUUGGCCGUGUGACUUCCAAUCAAGCACAGCUGUAGAGGGUUGUGGUUGAUUGGGAGUCACACAUAAGUUGCCUACGUUUCCGUUGUGUGGUGUGGGUAAUUGUGCUUGUCACUGUUGUUGCACCUGACAGGACUGUGUUGGCUGUCAGUUUUGUUGUUUUUGUUAAUUGCAUAGUGUUCGUAACAUUAAAAAUGACGAACCCUAACUCCGCCGCAUUUUGGUCCACUUCUUCCGUAGACAGCCGUUACAGAAUUACCCACCAAACCAGGACCAAGCGGCGGAAGAGGAAGGAGCAGCAGGACUACUGCGUUAUGGACAAAUGGACAUGGGAACAGAUCCUGGACGGAGAGGGACCAUGGACUCAGGCUGGGGAUUAUCGCCUCCCGCAGUGGGAGAUUGAAGCGGCGAGAGCGGAGAGGCGAUACUACGAGGAGAGAGAGCGCAACGAGCGCGAGAGGCAGCCCCAAUAUUUUUUUUGGGGGGGGCACACGGGACAGUCGGUGGAGCUGAGGUCGGAACCAGAGCCAGUCGGGAUGACAUUGGAGGUGAGCGAGGGCUAUGAGACAGAGACUGUGACGGGGUUAAUGGGAAAAUUAGCAGAGAGAGAGAUGAGAGAGCUGCUAGUGUGGUGCAUAAAGUACGGCAUUCGCCCUAAUGAGCGUGUCGUGGGUAUGAUGUCACCUGAGGCAGCUCUCCAUACUCGUCCUGAGGUGCGUGCUGGUUGUCUGGUAGAGACUGUGCCUGCGCCCAGAAACAGGCCUCCUCCAUGUCUUCCCAGCCCUGCACAUCCUGUACCUACACCUAGAACCAAGCCUCCUGCAUGUCUUCCUAUCCUGGUCAAGCCCAUGCCUCCUCCACGGACCAGUACUCCAGUGGGUCUCCCUAUCCUGGUCAAGCCCGUGCCUCCUCCACGGACCAGUACUCCAGUGGGUCUCUCUAUCCUGGUCAAGCCCGUGUCUCCUCCACGGACCAGUCCUCCAAUGGAUCUCCCUAUCCUGGUCAAGCCCGUGUCUCCUCCACGGACCGGUCCUCCAGUGGGUCUCUCCACCCUGGUCUCUCCUGUGCCACCUCCUCAAGCCAGGCCUCCGUUAUGUCUCCCCAGCCUGGUGAAUCCUGAGUCAGAGCUGCCCGCCAGUCAACAGUCGUCGGAGCUGCCCGCCAGUCAACAGUCGUCGGAGCUGCCCGCCAGUCAACAGUCGUCGGAGCUGCCCGCCAGUCAACAGUCGUCGGAGCUGCCCGCCAGUCAACAGUCGUCGGAGCUGCCCGCCAGUCAACAGUCGUCGGAGCUGCCCGCCAGUCAACAGUCGUCGGAGCUGCCCGCCAGUCAACAGUCGUCGGAGCUGCCCGCCAGUCAACAGUCGUCGGAGCUGCCCGCCAGUCAACAGUCGUCGGAGCUGCCCGCCAGUCAACAGUCGUCGGAGCUGCCCGCCAGUCAACAGUCGUCGGAGCUGCCCGCCAGUCAACAGUCGUCGGAGCUGCCCGCCAGUCAACAGUCGUCGGAGCUGCCCGCCAGUCAACAGUCGUCGGAGCUGCCCGCCAGUCAACAGUCGUCGGAGCUGCCCGCCAGUCAACAGUCGUCGGAGUGGCCGGACUGCCCUGAACUGCCGGAGUGGCCGGACUGCCCUGAACUGCCGGAGUGGCCGGACUGCCCUGUUCUGCCGGAGUGGCCGGACUGCCCUGUUCUGCCGGAGUGGCCGCCUGCCCUGAUCUGCCAGGGUGCCCGGNNNNNNNNNNN
rnacentral:lncRNA from 8 species